UAUACAUAAUCAUAAAUCUGAUUCGAAGCAAAUCAUAUUCAUCUCAUCAGCCUUUAGCUACGACCACACUUAUACCCUGUGGCUAGGCCAGAAACAGAACCGCACUUAUACCUUGCGGAGUGGGCCAGAAUACUGCACUUAUACCCUGCGGAGUGGGCCAGAAUACCACACUUAUACCCUGUGGUGGGGCCAGAAUUGCCAAUGCAUAACCCCCUAUUGGCAGGGUCCAGAACAUAGCCAGGCUGAGAGUUCUAAAUCUGAUGCACAUCAAAAUUCUUUUGUAACAUAAUAGAUAUAUCAUAAUCCGAUCUAA
rnacentral:lncRNA from 1 species